AGGAAAUUAGCAGACAAACAGAGGAGAUCUGAGAGAAUGAGACCUCACUCCACAGAUAAGAAGAUCACAUCUGAAAGAAAUAUGAAACAUAAAUUGUUUGUGCUGAACAACACUGAGAGAUGUGGUGUUGGGACACACAGAAGGGAUGUGCCACCAACCAGCCAGUGAUGGGAACCUCAGUCAAGGUGCUGUCUGAGUAGCAUCUGCAGUGGCAUGCCCAUCCCCACGCACAGCUUGAAGUGCUCGAAGUGCUCGAAGAAGAUGAAGUGCUCGAAGACCCACUCUUCAUCUGCUACUAUCUGCAAGUUUCCUCCUUCUUCAUGAGAGAAAGCUCCAGGGAUGGGUCUGCAGAGGAUCCUGUUUCUGCACAGGGCACCAGGGCCAGCUCUGGGGACAACCACUGGGACAGAGCAGCUGGUUGUGAGUGAACAGCUGCAGCGCAAUAUGAACUGGGGCUGGCUGCAGGAGGGGGUUUCUUGAUGCCACCUUUGCCAUGCAAAUUGGUGGUGCAGCAAGGGAUACUCCUGCCUUCCAGAUGGCUGGCCCCUUCCUCCAUCCCUUUCCUAACUUGUGCUCCCAUUACAGAAGGAGUGUCUUACUUUCUGCAGAAACAUCAGCUGAAGAUUUUAGGUUACACAUGUAGGGUUGAAAGCAUCAGCAGA